rnacentral:rRNA from 1 species
AGUGAACGCUGGCGGUAGGCCUAACACAUGCAAGUCGAACGGCAGCACAGUAAGAGCUUGCUCUUACGGGUGGCGAGUGGCGGACGGGUGAGGAAUACAUCGGAAUCCACUUUUUCGUGGGGGAUAACGUAGGGAAACUUACGCUAAUACCGCAUACGACCUACGGGUGAAAGCAGGGGAUCUUCGGACCUUGCGCGAUUGAAUGAGCCGAUGUCGGAUUCGCUAGUUGGCGGGGCAAAGGCCCACCAAGGCGACGAUCCGUAGCUGGUCUGAGGGGAUGGACAGCCACACUGGAACUGAGACACAGUCCAGACUCCUACAGGAGGAAGCAGUGGGGAAUAUUAGGCAAUGGGCGCGAGCCUGAUCCAGCCAUACCGCGUGGGUGAAGAAGGCCUUCGGGUUGUAGAGCCCUUUUGUUGGGAAAGAAGAGCAGCAGGUUAAUACCCCGCUGUUCUGACGGUACCCAAAGAAUAAGCACCGGCUAACUUCGUG